UUCACAUCACACAGGUCGCGUUCGCGAUGAGCAACCCCCUCCCCUAGUGCUCCGCGUUUGCGACUGUGGCUUCGCGUUCGCGAAGAACAAUUCCACCCCUGUCCCAAUUUCCCUUUCGUGAUCAUGAGUGUUACUACCUGAUCGUGAUGCAAAAAAGAUCUGUGCACCUGCAGCAAAAAUUCUGAAAUUUUUCCUAAGUCCAAAACUUCCCGAAACACCUUCGAUUCACACCUGAGCCCUCAAGGAUACUAACCAAACAUGCGUACUAACUCAACAUCAUACGAACUUAUCAUAUAAUCAAAUCGCUAAAUAACCUCAAUAACAACGAGUUACACCUCAAAAUCAAAAUAUUUUUCUCAAACUUCAUAAAACAUUAACUUUAACAAUUUAGGUCCGAAUCACGUCAAACGACAUUCGUUUUUUCCCAAAUUUUAUGAAAAUAUAUUAAAUCAUAUGCAAUACCUGUACCGGGUGCCAGAACUAAAAUACAGUCCCGAUACCACCAUGUUCUAAUCAAAUUUUUAUUUUAAAUUUCCUUAAAUAAUUUUCUUUAAAAAUUCA
rnacentral:lncRNA from 1 species